GUGGGGAAUUUUGGACAAUGGGCGCAAGCCUGAUCCAGCAAUGCCGCGUGCAGGAAGAAGGCCUUCGGGUUGUAAACUGCUUUUGUACGGAACGAAACGGUCCGGGUUAAUACCCUGGGCUAAUGACGGUACCGUAAGAAUAAGCACCGGCUAACUACGUGCCAGCAGCCGCGGUAAUACGUAGGGUGCAAGCGUUAAUCGGAAUUACUGGGCGUAAAGCGUGCGCAGGCGGUGCUGUAAGACAGGCGUGAAAUCCCCGGGCUCAACCUGGGAAUUGCGCUUGUGACUGCAGUGCUGGAGUGCGGCAGAGGGGGAUGGAAUUCCGCGUGUAGCAGUGAAAUGCGUAGAUAUGCGGAGGAACACCGAUGGCGAAGGCAAUCCCCUGGGCCUGCACUGACGCUCAUGCACGAAAGCGUGGGGAGCAAACAGGAUUAGAAACCCUAGUAGUCC
rnacentral:rRNA from 1 species